CCUACGGGAGGCAGCAGUGGGGAAUCUUGCGCAAUGGGCGAAAGCCUGACGCAGCAACGCCGCGUGCGGGAAGAAGGCUCUCGGGUUGUAAACCGCUUUCAGCAGGAACGAAAAUGACGGUACUUGCAGAAGAAGGUGCGGCCAACUACGUGCCAGCAGCCGCGGUGACACGUAGGCACCAAGCGUUGUCCGGAUUUAUUGGGCGUAAAGAGCUCGUAGGCGGUUCGGUAAGUCAGGUGUGAAAACUUUGGGCUCAACCCAAAGCCUGCAUCUGAUACUGCUGUGACUAGAGUUCGGUAGGGGAGCGGGGAAUUCCUAGUGUAGCGGUGAAAUGCGCAGAUAUUAGGAGGAACACCGGUGGCGAAGGCGCCGCUCUGGGCCGAAACUGACGCUGAGGAGCGAAAGCGUGGGUAGCAAACAGGAUUAGAUACCCUGGUAGUCCACGCCGUAAACGUUGGGCACUAGGUGUGGGUUUCAACCAACGAAACUACGCGCGUCGCUACGCAUAAGUAGCCCGCCGUCGGGUAGGUACGGCCGCGAACGGUUAAACCGUACAACGAAGUUAGACGGCGUGAGACGUGCCGAACGGACGACCGACGAGGGGAGUAGG
rnacentral:rRNA from 1 species